CCUACGGGGGGCAGCAGUGAGGAAUAUUGGUCAAUGGACGAGAGUCUGAACCAGCCAAGUAGCGUGAAGGAUGACUGCCCUAUGGGUUGUAAACUUCUUUUAUAAAGGAAUAAAACGAGGCACGUGUGCCUUUUUGCAUGUACUUUAUGAAUAAGGAUCGGCUAACUCCGUGCCAGCAGCCGCGGUAAUACGGAGGAUCCGAGCGUUAUCCGGAUUUAUUGGGUUUAAAGGGUGCGUAGGCGGGCUUUUACGUCAGCGGUAAAAUUUCGGGGCUCAACCCCGUCCGGCCGUUGAAACUGGGGGCCUUGAGUGGGCGAGAAGAAGGCGGAAUGCGUGGUGUAGCGGUGAAAUGCAUAGAUAUCACGCAGAACCCCGAUUGCGAAGGCAGACUUCCGGCGCCCUACUGACGCUGAGGCACGAAAGUGCGGGGAUCGAACAGGAUUAGAUACCCCUGUAGUC
rnacentral:rRNA from 1 species